ACCUCCGUACGGAGGCAGCAGGAUUGGGGAAUAUUGGCACAAUGGGCGCAAGCCUGAUGCAGCCAUGCCGCGUGUGUGAAGAAGGCCUUCGGGUUGUAAAGCACUUUCAGUCGUGAGGAAGGUAGUGUAGUUAAUAGCUGCAUUAUUUGACGUUAGCGACAGAAGAAGCACCGGCUAACUCCGUGCCAGCAGCCGCGGUAAUACGGAGGGUGCGAGCGUUAAUCGGAAUUACUGGGCGUAAAGCGCAUGCAGGUGGUUUGUUAAGUCAGAUGUGAAAGCCCGGGGCUCAACCUCGGAAUUGCAUUUGAAACUGGCAGACUAGAGUACUGUAGAGGGGGUGA
rnacentral:rRNA from 1 species